rnacentral:rRNA from 1 species
CCUACGGGAGGCAGCAGUGGGGAAUAUUGGACAAUGGGCGAAAGCCUGAUCCAGCCAUGCCGCGUGUGUGAAGAAGGCCUUCGGGUUGUAAAGCACUUUCAGUGGGGAAGAAAGCCUUGGGGCUAAUACCCUCGAGGAAGGACAUCACCCACAGAAGAAGCACCGGCUAACUCCGUGCCAGCAGCCGCGGUAAUACGGAGGGUGCGAGCGUUAAUCGGAAUUACUGGGCGUAAAGCGCGCGUAGGCGGUCUGAUAAGCCGGUUGUGAAAGCCCCGGGCUCAACCUGGGAACGGCAUCCGGAACUGCCAAGCUAGAGUGCAGGAGAGGAAGGUAGAAUUCCCGGUGUAGCGGUGAAAUGCGUAGAGAUCGGGAGGAAUACCAGUGGCGAAGGCGGCCUUCUGGACUGACACUGACGCUGAGGUGCGAAAGCGUGGGUAGCAAACAGGAUUAGAUACCCCAGUAGUC